rnacentral:rRNA from 1 species
UACGUAGGGACCAAGCGUUGUUCGGAUUUACUGGGCGUAAAGGGCGCGUAGGCGGCAAUUCAAGUCAUCUGUGAAAUCUCCGGGCUUAACCCGGAACGGUCAGGUGAUACUGUCUUGCUAGAGUGCGGAAGGGGCAAUCGGAAUUCUUGGUGUAGCGGUGAAAUGCGUAGAUAUCAAGAGGAACACCUGAGGUGAAGACGGGUUGCUGGGCCGACACUGACGCUGACAGCGCGAAAGCCAGGGAGCAAACGGG